GACGAACGCUGGCGGCGUGCUUAACACAUGCAAGUCGAACGGUGAAGCGCCUUCCUUUUUGGUGGGUGUGGAUGAGUGGCGAACGGGUGAGUAACACGUGAGUAACCUGCCCCCUUCUUCUGGAUAACCGCAUGAAAGUGUGGCUAAUACGGGAUAUUCUGGGUCUGUCGCCUGAUGGGUCUGGGAAAGAUAUUGUUUCGGUGGGGGAUGGGCUCGCGGCCUUUCAGCUUGUUGGUGGGGUGAUGGCCUACCACGGCGGUGACGGGUAGCCGGCCUGGGAGGGUAGGCGGACAGAGUAGGACUGGGACGCGGCACGGACUCCUACGGGAGGCAGGGGGGGGGUGGAGUGCAUAGUGGGAGGGAGGCAGGGGCGGCGCCGCGGCGUGGGGGAUGGAGGCGUGGGGGUUGUGAUGCGCUUUCGCUAGGGAAGCGGGCAUGCCUCGAUUGUGGGUGGGGUGACGGUAGUGGGAUAAGAAGCGCCGGCUAACUACGUG
rnacentral:rRNA from 1 species